ensembl:lncRNA
CAACACAUUCCCCAAAAAGUUGGGACGAGGGCAAUUUAGCGGUAGUAAUGAGGUAGAAUAAUUAAAUAAUUAUGUGAUUUGAAACUAGUGAUGUCAACAGGUUAUUGUAAUUAUGAUUUGGUACAAAAGCAGCAUCCAGGAAAGGCCUAGUCCUUUAGGAGCAAAGAUGCGUGCGCAAAUUAUUGAAAUGUUUAAAAACAAUGUUUCUCAAAGAAAGAUAGGAAGGGAUUUGGACAUUUCACCCUCCACGGUGCAUAACAUAAUUAAAAGAUUCAAGGAAUCUGGAGGAAUUUCAGUGCGUAAAGGGCAAGGGCCCAAGCCUAAGCUGAAUAACCGUGAUCUCCGAUCCCUCAGACGGCACUGCAUCAAGAACCGUCAUUCAUCUAUAAGCGAUAUAACCACAUGGGCUCAGGAUUAUGUUGGCAAACCUUUGUCAAGCACUACAAUACGUAGUUACAUCCACAAAUGCCAGUUUACUUUACUGUGCCAAAAGGAAGCCAUAUGUUAACCAUGUCCAGAAGCACUGUCGACUUCUCUGGGCUCGGAGGCAUCUGGGAUGGACCAUCACACAGUGGAAAGGAGUAUUGUGUCAGACAAAUCAGUAUUUAAGGUCUUUUUUUAAAGAAAUGGACGCCGUGUGCUCCAGACCGAAGAAGAAAAGGACCAUCUGUUACGUUAACAGCAAGCAGUUACAGUUAGAAUUCUGGGUUUCCUCAGUGUCACUCACAUUACAUCACUGACUAGAAUGUUGUGAGAAUUCUACUUUGACCUGAGAAUUCUACUUUGAACUUUAAAAUUCUACUUUGACAUAGAACUCUUUCAGUUGCACCUGGCUGAGACAGAGACAACAUUACAAAGCGCUUGCUGCCAACAAUUUCACCCUAUAUUGAUUAUUGAUUGUUGAUUUUUGACUUGAUUGACUACCUUAUAUAUUUAAUUGAUUUAUUUAGUUUGAUUGCUUGUUUGUAAUAUUUACUGGGAGUUUUUUUUUGACGGUAAGAGAUUUUUAAGAGGUGAGUAAAAUUUAGCAAAAAAAGGAUUUGUUAGCAGGACAUUAGAGAUGAGGACGAACAGUAGCUACUCUGGCAGCGAGGACAAGAUGAGAAGACAGAUGAGCUGGGCCGAGCAAGUCGACAUCGCUUACCCCCUGGAUGAGUGCUGGAGUGAGAGCUGCCUGACAGAUCCCCAUGUCUGCAUGGAGGACCACCUCAUACCCAGGAAGAGGUCAGGAGAGAGGAGGCCUAAGCACGUCACCUUUGACCUGAGUUGGCUGGACACCGUUGGGCCGGAUUGGCUCAGGAACGCAGAGGAGCUGACCCCAAAGGGGCAAAUAGACAUACUAUCAAGUCUCCUGUAUACGGGACAUCCCAGCACUCUGUUCACAAGAGUUGUUAACAGCAGACAGAAUGUUGGAGGGUACUGCUAUGUCCAUUCCACAGUUCCACCUGUCUUCUGUACAUGAGGAUAUAGGAGGAGAGGGGAGGGGAGGGACAGAACAUAUCCAUAUGUGAAAAAUAUGAGCACAUAGUAUUUAUACUGUAUGUUUCUAAACUACAAUUGAAUGCACUUAUGUACUCACAAGGGGGUGGGGGUAUGGAUGGUCAUCCUUGAAAUCUUUUAUUUAUUAUUUUAUUUAUUU